UACGUAGGGGGCAAGCGUUGUCCGGAUUUAUUGGGCGUAAAGAGCGUGUAGGCGGCUUUACAGGUCCGUUGUGAAAACUCGAGGCUCAACCUCGAGACGCCGGUGGAAACCGUAAAGCUAGAGUCCGGAAGAGGAGAGUGGAAUUCCUGGUGUAGCGGUGGGAUGCGCAGAUAUCAGGAGGAACACCAAUAGCGAAGGCAGCUCGCUGGGACGGUAUUGACGCUGAGGCGCGAAAGCGUGGGGAGCAAACAGG
rnacentral:rRNA from 1 species